ACGGGUGAGUAAUGUCUGGGGAUCUGCCCGAUAGAGGGGGAUAACCACUGGAAACGGUGGCUAAUACCGCAUAAUGUCGCAAGACCAAAGAGGGGGACCUUCGGGCCUCUCACUAUCGGAUGAACCCAGAUGGGAUUAGCUAGUAGGCGGGGUAACGGCCCACCUAGGCGACGAUCCCUAGCUGGUCUGAGAGGAUGACCAGCCACACUGGAACUGAGACACGGUCCAGACUCCUACGGGAGGCAGCAGUGGGGAAUAUUGCACAAUGGGCGCAAGCCUGAUGCAGCCAUGCCGCGUGUAUGAAGAAGGCCUUCGGGUUGUAAAGUACUUUCAGCGGGGAGGAAGGCGAUAAGGUUAAUAAUCUUGUCGAUUGACGUUACCCGCAGAAGAAGCACCGGCUAACUCCGUGCCAGCAGCCGCGGUAAUACGGAGGGUGCAAGCGUUAAUCGGAAUUACUGGGCGUAAAGCGCACGCAGGCGGUCUGUUAAGUCAGAUGUGAAAUCCCCGGGCUUAACCUGGGAACUGCAUUUGAAACUGGCAGGCUUGAGUCUCGUAGAGGGGGGUAGAAUUCCAGGUG
rnacentral:rRNA from 1 species